rnacentral:rRNA from 1 species
UGGGAAUUUGGACAAUGGGCGAAAGCCUGAUCCAGCAAUGCCGCGUGUGUGAAGAAGGCCUUCGGGUUGUAAAGCACUUUUGUCCGGAAAGAAAUCCUUGGCUCUAAUACAGUCGGGGGAUGACGGUACCGGAAGAAUAAGCACCGGCUAACUACGUGCCAGCAGCCGCGGUAAUACGUAGGGUGCAAGCGUUAAUCGGAAUUACUGGGCGUAAAGCGUGCGCAGGCGGUUUGCUAAGACCGAUGUGAAAUCCCCGGGCUCAACCUGGGAACUGCAUUGGUGACUGGCAGGCUAGAGUAUGGCAGAGGGGGGUAGAAUUCCACGUGUAGCAGUGAAAUGCGUAGAGAUGUGGAGGAAUACCGAUGGCGAAGGCAGCCCCCUGGGCAAUACUGACGCUCAUGCACGAAAGCGUGGGGAGCAAAACAGGAUUAGAUACCCUGGUAGUCCACGCCCUAAAACGAUGUCAACUAGUUGUUGGGGAUUCAUUUCCUUAGUAACGUAGCUAACGCGUGAAGUUGACCGCCUGGGGAGUACGGUCGCAAGAUU